rnacentral:rRNA from 1 species
ACACAUGCAAGUCGAGCGGAGACAGUGAGUAGCUUGCUAUGAGCUGUUUUAGCGGCGGACGGGUGAGUAACGCGUGAGCAACCUUUCCCAGACAGGGGAAUAACACACCGAAAGGUGUACUAAUACCGCACAAGACCACGGGAUCACAUGGUUCUGAGGUAAAAGAUUUAUCGGUUUGGGGUGGGCUCGCGUCCGAUUAGGUAGUUGGUGAGGUAACGGCCCACCAAGCCGACGAUCGGUAGCCGACCUGAGAGGGUGAUCGGCCACAUUGGGACUGAGACACGGCCCAAACUCCUACGGGAGGCAGCAGUGGGGAAUAUUGGGCAAUGGAGGAAACUCUGACCCAGCAACGCCGCGUGGAGGAAGAAGGUUUUCGGAUCGUAAACUCCUGUCCUUGGAGACGAGUAGAAGACGGUAUCCAAGGAGGAAGCCCCGGCUAACUACGUGCCAGCAGCCGCGGUAAUACGUAGGGGGCAAGCGUUGUCCGGAAUAAUUGGGCGUAAAGGGCGCGUAGGCGGCUCGGUAAGUCUGGAGUGAAAGUCCUGCUUUUAAGGUGGGAAUUGCUUUGGAUACUGUCGGGCUUGAGUGCAGGAGAGGUUAGUGGAAUUCCCAGUGUAGCGGUGAAAUGCGUAGAGAUUGGGAGGAACACCAGUGGCGAAGGCGACUAACUGGACUGUAACUGACGCUGAGGCGCGAAAGUGUGGGGAGCAAACAGG